rnacentral:rRNA from 1 species
UACGUAGGGUCCAAGCGUUAUCCGGAAUCACUGGGCGUAAAGCGUGCGUAGGUGGCGUGUUAAGUGUGAUGUUAAAUCGUGUGGCUCAACCAUAUCGAUGUGUCGCAUACUGGCAUGCUAGAGGACAGCAGAGGCAAGUGGAAUUAGUAGUGUAGCAGUGAAAUGCGUAGAUAUUACUAGGAACACCAAUGCGAAGGCAGCUUGCUGGGCUACUCCUGACACUGAGGUACGAAAGCGUGGGGAGCGAACAGG